UGUCUAUAGUUUAAAAUUUAAAUUCUUCAGAAAUAUUUUUGUACAAGUUAACCACUCUGAGUUUAGUAUAUCCGGUAAUCCUUUUUGGUACAAGUUAACUACAACGUAUAUCUGGUCAAUCACUCACUUCCUGUCAGCCUUACUGACCAGUCCGGUCUCACUUUGUCUAUCGGCUUCAAUCUUGUUAGAUGCGUGCCUCGAGCCACUAAUUUUUUACCAAUAUUAUUCACGACGGCAACGUUUUCCACACAAAAUAAACUAUGAAACCCGUGUGA